rfam:Xanthomonas translucens pv. undulosa strain Xtu 4699, complete genome.
AAUACCUGUCGCGGAUCUCCUCCCAUCCCCUGGAGCAGAUCCAGGAACGGCGACUCCUCCCCAAGUCUCCGUUCCCUGGCCCCGCCGACCUCCCCCUGGUCCGCGGGGCUUUUUA